GCUCGUAUAGUGUAGGUGGUUAUCACAGUUCGUUGUGGCUGAAAGUCUCAACCCGAGCUAACCGCUGUUCGACUCAGCGUGCGAGCA